CCUGGUGGCUCAGUUGGUAAGAGCAUCUGCCUAUGAUGCGGGAGACCCAGGUUCAAUCCCUGGGUCAGGA
rnacentral:tRNA from 1 species